AAAAUUCUUGCUCUGGUAGUCUGACCCUUGUUGAGAAGAACAAACAGCCAGACAAGCACGCGGGGCCUGCUGGACAUGCCAGCCCAGCAGAUGUGGACAUGAUAAGUGUGCACUGCUUCAUUCAUGUCAUGUCAUGACUGUACAUCUGUGACCAUGGGUCAUCUACAGAGGAACAGACGGUUGGUACUUGUAUUGUCCGCUCAAUAAGAGGGAUUAAAUAAAAUGCGGUGUGUUUUAUGGUGUGUGGUUUAUAUAUGUUUUUCUCCACAGCAGAGACGCGAUGUGCAGCAAUGCGUUCCAGCUGUGCGCACUGUGUUUGAAACGGUCGCCGGUGUGUCAUGCGCGCCUGUGUGAUCAUGCAUCCCUCAUGACAGCAGGUGGAAUGUUUUGUGGUUACCCAUUUCCUGUUUGGUUUGAAAAUUUUCUUCCAGUUUCUGUGUCUUUCAUGUUAUGUGUGAAGGGGCCCUAACAUUUGCAGCUACAUUCAAGCGCACGCUGGGACGUUUUCCUCAAAGUUACGUAAACGCUGUCGGAAACACUCGGAAAUCAGAAAAGCAGUCGGAG